rnacentral:sRNA from 1 species
AUCUAUCAAGUGGCACAUUAUUCUAGUCUAUUUGAUUUAUUAGGAAGCCGGGGCUAAAAAUCCGGUAAAGAGCACAUCUGUGAAACUUUUGGUGUUUGCUUCUUACGCCCAGUUUGGGGUGGAUGCUGAAAGGUAGAGUGAUGGGCGUCCGUAAUGGCAUACGCAAACGACCCAGCAUUCAUGGAGACCUAAUCUUGUGUUUGGCCUAUACACUAUUAGUUGACGGACCAGAUACGAAUUAGGCGUGAACCUAUUUUGUGGCGAAAGUUAUGAAUAGCGUAGCUUGUCUUGAGUGAGUUAUGGGGAUAACUGAUCUAUUUUAAGUAGUUUAUAGCUAAGAUUAUUUAAAAAUCGCAGUUUGAAACAAUACUUGCAAAAAAGAAUUAAUAAUAAAUUAGUAGCCGGGGAAAUCCCCUAGAGUGACGUAAUAUAAGAUUACAGUGCGUACUAAGUGGUAAUCAAGUCAUAUAUUUGGAGACGAUAUAUUGAAUCUUUUAAAGGGAAACCGCAACCAUGGUAACGUGAUGCAAGAUUCAGGGAAAACCUACUUGACCUAAGACGCAAAGUUAAUUAUGUUAAUAGCCAUUUAAG